rnacentral:rRNA from 1 species
UACGUAGGGGCUAGCGUUGUCCGGAAUCAUUGGGCGUAAAGCGCGCGUAGGCGGCCCGGUAAGUCCGCUGUGAAAGUCAAAGGCUCAACCUUUGAAUGUCAGCGGAUACUGCCGGGCUAGAGUCCGGAAGAGGCGAGUGGAACUCCUGGUGGUAGCGGUGGAAUGCGCAGAUAUCAGGAAGAACACCAACGGCGAAGGCAGCUCGCUGGGACGGAACUGACGCUGAGGCGCGAAAGCGUGGGGAGCGAACAGG